UGCUCCUGCACCCAAUACCCAGAAUUAUGCUACGUACAGAGAAGGCUACAACGUGUAUGGAACAGAAAGUGUUAAGAUCUAGUGGUACGGCUAAAGGUCCAGGAACUGUGGUGACUUCAGAUCCCGCACUUAUGAUG